rnacentral:piRNA from 1 species
UUUUCGAUAUGUACAAAUAAG